GCUUAGUGGUGGGGUGACUGCGUACCUUUUGUAUAAUGGGUCAGCGACUUAUAUUCUGUAGCAAGGUUAACCGUAUAGGGGAGCCGGAGGGAAACCGAGUCUUAAUUGGGCGUUAAGUUGCAGGGUAUAGACCCGAAACCCGGUGAUCUAGCCAUGGGCAGGUUGAAGGUUGGGUAACACUAACUGGAGGACCGAACCGACUAAUGUUGAAAAAUUAGCGGAUGACCUGUGGCUGGGGGUGAAAGGCCAAUCAAACCGGGAGAUAGCUGGUUCUCCCCGAAAGCUAUUUAGGUAGCGCCUCGUGAAUUCAUCUCCGGGGGUAGAGCACUGUUUCGGCUAGGGGGCCAUCCCGGCUUACCAACCCGAUGCAAACUGCGAAUACCGGAGAAUGUUAUCACGGGAGACACACGGCGGGUGCUAACGUCCGUCGUGAAGAGGGAAACAACCCAGACCGCCAGCUAAGGUCCCAAAGUCAUGGUUAAGUGGGAAACGAUGUGGGAAGGCCCAGACAGCCAGGAUGUUGGCUUAGAAGCAGCCAUCAUUUAAAGAAAGCGUAAUAGCUCACUGGUCGAGUCGGCCUGCGCGGAAGAUGUAACGGGGCUAAACCAUGCACCGAAGCUGCGGCAGCGACACUCAGGUGUUGUUGGGUAGGGGAGCGUUCUGUAAGCCUGUGAAGGUGUGUCGUGAGGCAUGCUGGAGGUAUCAGAAGUGCGAAUGCUGACAUAAGUAACGAUAAAGCGGGUGAAAAGCCCGCUCGCCGGAAGACCAAGGGUUCCUGUCCAACGUUAAUCGGGGCAGGGUGAGUCGACCCCUAAGGCGAGGCCGAAAGGCGUAGUCGAUGGGAAACGGGUUAAUAUUCCCGUACUUGGUGUUACUGCGAAGGGGGGACGGAGAAGGCUAUGUUGGCCGGGCGACGGUUGUCCCGGUUUAAGCGUGUAGGUGUGUGUUCCAGGUAAAUCCGGUUCACUUUAACACUGAGGCGUGAUGACGAGGCACUACGGUGCUGAAGCAACAAAUGCCCUGCUUCCAGGAAAAGCCUCUAAGCAUCAGGUAACAUCAAAUCGUACCCCAAACCGACACAGGUGGUCAGGUAGAGAAUACCAAGGCGCUUGAGAGAACUCGGGUGAAGGAACUAGGCAAAAUGGUGCCGUAACUUCGGGAGAAGGCACGCUGACACGUAGGUGAAGUGAUUUACUCACGGAGCUGAAGUCAGUCGAAGAUACCAGCUGGCUGCAACUGUUUAUUAAAAACACAGCACUGUGCAAACACGAAAGUGGACGUAUACGGUGUGACGCCUGCCCGGUGCCGGAAGGUUAAUUGAUGGGGUCAGCGCAAGCGAAGCUCCUGAUCGAAGCCCCGGUAAACGGCGGCCGUAACUAUAACGGUCCUAAGGUAGCGAAAUUCCUUGUCGGGUAAGUUCCGACCUGCACGAAUGGCGUAAUGAUGGCCAGGCUGUCUCCACCCGAGACUCAGUGAAAUUGAACUCGCUGUGAAGAUGCAGUGUACCCGCGGCAAGACGGAAAGACCCCGUGAACCUUUACUAUAGCUUGACACUGAACAUUGAGCCUUGAUGUGUAGGAUAGGUGGGAGGCUUUGAAGUGUGGACGCCAGUCUGC
rnacentral:rRNA from 1 species